UCCGUCGUAGUCUAGGUGUUUAGGAUACUCGGCUCUCACCUCAGAGACCCGGGUUCAAGUCCUGGCGACAGAA
rnacentral:tRNA from 1 species